rnacentral:rRNA from 1 species
GCGCUGACAAAACGGAGGAAGGUGGGGAUGACGUCAAAUCAUCAUGCCCCUUAUAUCCAGGGCUACACACACGCUACAAUGGUCUGUACAAUGGGUAGCCAAGCCGCGAGGCGGAGCCAAUCCUGAAAGCAGGCCUCAGUUCAGAUUGCAGUCUGCAACUCGACUGCAUGAAGCCGGAGUUGCUAGUAACCGCAGGUCAGCAAUACUGCGGUGAAUACGUUCCCGGGUCUU